rnacentral:tRNA from 1 species
GAGGGUAUAGCUCAGUGGUAGAGUGCAUACUUAGCAUGCAAGAGGUCCUGGGUUCAAUCCCCAGUACUUCCA